rnacentral:rRNA from 1 species
GAAGGUGGCCUGUGAGGGUUGCUGGAGGUAUCAGAAGUGCGAAUGCUGACAUAAGUAACGAUAAAGCGGGUGAAAAGCCCGCUCGCCGGAAGACCAAGGGUUCCUGUCCAACGUUAAUCGGGGCAGGGUGAGUCGACCCCUAAGGCGAGGCCGAAAGGCGUAGUCGAUGGGAAACGGGUUAAUAUUCCCGUACUUGGUGUUACUGCGAAGGGGGGACGGAGAAGGCUAUGUUGGCCGGGCGACGGUUGUCCCGGUUUAAGCGUGUAGGUKUGUKUUCCAGGYAAAUCCGGUUCACUUUAACACUGAGGCGUGAYGACGAGGCACUACGGUGCUGAAGCAACAAAUGCCCUGCUUCCAGGAAAAGCCUCUAAGCAUCAGGUAACAUCAAAUCGUACCCCAAACCGACACAGGUGGUCAGGUAGAGAAUACCAAGGCGCUUGAGAGAACUCGGGUGAAGGAACUAGGCAAAAUGGUGCCGUAACUUCGGGAGAAGGCACGCUGACAYGUAGGUGAAGUGAUUUACUCAYGGAGCUGAAGUCAGUCGAAGAUACCAGCUGGCUGCAACUGUUUAUUAAAAACACAGCACUGUGCAAACACGAAAGUGGACGUAUACGGUGUGACGCCUGCCCGGUGCCGGAAGGUUAAUUGAUGGGGUCAGCGCAAGCGAAGCUCCUGAUCGAAGCCCCGGUAAACGGCGGCCGUAACUAUAACGGUCCUAAGGUAGCGAAAUUCCUUGUCGGGUAAGUUCCGACCUGCACGAAUGGCGUAAUGAUGGCCAGGCUGUCUCCACCCGAGACUCAGUGAAAUUGAACUCGCUGUGAAGAUGCAGUGUACCCGCGGCAAGACGGAAAGACCCCGUGAACCUUUACUAUAGCUUGACACUGAACAUUGAGCCUUGAUGUGUAGGAUAGGUGGGAGGCUUUGAAGUGUGGACGCCAGUCUGCAUGGAGCCGACCUUGAAAUACCACCCUUUAAUGUUUGAUGUUCUAACGUGGACCCGUWAYCCGGGUUGCGGACAGUGUCUGGUGGGUAGUUUGACUGGGGCGGUCUCCUCCUAAAGAGUAACGGAGGAGCACGAAGGUUGGCUAAUCCUGGUCGGACAUCAGGAGGUUAGUGCAAUGGCAUAAGCCAGCUUGACUGCGAGCGUGACGGCGCGAGCAGGUGCGAAAGCAGGUCAUAGUGAUCCGGUGGUUCUGAAUGGAAGGGCCAUCGCUCAACGGAUAAAAGGUACUCCGGGGAUAACAGGCUGAUACCGCCCAAGAGUUCAUAUCGACGGCGGUGUUUGGCACCUCGAUGUCGGCUCAUCACAUCCUGGGGCUGAAGUAGGUCCCAAGGGUAUGGCUGUUCGCCAUUUAAAGUGGUACGCGAGCUGGGUUUAGAACGUCGUGAGACAGUUCGGUCCCUAUCUGCCGUGGGCGCUGGAGAACUGAGGGGGGCUGCUCCUAGUACGAGAGGACCGGAGUGGACGCAUCACUGGUGUUCGGGUUGUCAUGCCAAUGGCACUGCCCGGUAGCUAAAUGCGGAAGAGAUAAGUGCUGAAAGCAUCUAAGCACGAAACUUGCCCCGAGAUGAGUUCUCCCUGAGACUU